UACGUAGGGUGCGAGCGUUAAUCGGAAUUACUGGGCGUAAAGCGUGCGCAGGCGGUUUUAUAAGCCAGAUGUGAAAGCCCCGGGCUCAACCUGGGAAUGGCAUUUGGGACUGUAAGGCUGGAGUAUGGCAGAGGAGACUAGAAUUCCUGGUGUAGCAGUGAAAUGCGUAGAUAUCAGGAGGAAUACCGAUGGCGAAGGCAGGUCUCUGGGCCAAUACUGACGCUCAUGCACGAAAGCUGGGGAGCAAACAGG
rnacentral:rRNA from 1 species